rnacentral:rRNA from 1 species
UACGUAGGGUGCUAGCGUUAUCCGGAUUUACUGGGCGUAAAGGGUGCGUAGGUGGUCUUGCAAGUCGGUGGUUAAAUGCUACGGCUCAACCGUAGUCAGCCGCCGAAACUGGAAGACUUGAGGGCAGGAGAGGAAAGUGGAAUUCUCAGUGUAGCGGUGAAAUGCGUAGAUAUUGAGAAGAACACCAGUAGUGAAGGCGGCUGUCUGGACUGUAACUGACGCUGAGGCACGAGAGCG